rnacentral:lncRNA from 1 species
AGUCGGUAUAGGAUGGUUGCAUAUAUAUGGGUGAAGAAUAUGUCUUGUGUUGUUUUAUACUGAUUGAAUCUUAUGACUCUGGAGUGGUGGGGGUACACAUAGGAUUGACUAGGUAUUUGGUUGCCCGUAAGUUGAGGAUUAAGGAGAUUGCGUUUGUGAAGGUCCAGUGGAAGAAUCAUACUAUUGAGAAGGCCACUUGGGAGACCGAAGCAGACAUGUGUAGCAAGUAUUCACAACUUUUAAUGAUUCAGAUAAUUCUUUAGUUUUCUUCUGGUCGUUUGUUUGCCCGUUUGGGGAUGAACGGUUGUUUAAUUAGUAUCUGAUGUAAUAACUCCUCCGGCA